rnacentral:tRNA from 1 species
GGAGCCUUGGCUCAGUUCCUUUGGUCUAGAGCAUCCGGCUCAUAACCGGACGGUCCUGGGUUCGAAUCCCAGAGGCUCCA